UCAAUCUCGUGCGGCUAUAUAUACCGCCGGUCCCUCUAAGAAGAUUUUCAUUGUACGCCGAUAGUUGAAGACCGCCGCCCCUUGCGGGGUUAGGCGGACCCUCGUGAUAUCGGAGAUACGUCUAUUUAAUAGGCUAGAGUUACGUUCGUUAC
rnacentral:rRNA from 1 species